GACGAACGCUGGCGGCGUGCUUAACACAUGCAAGUCGAGCGGAGCGGCGAACGGGUGAGUAACGCGUGAGUAACUGACCCCCUCUCUGGGAUAACAGUUGGAAACGGCUGCUAAUACCGGAUAGUGGGGGAUGACUCGCGUCCUAUCAGCUUGUUGGUGGGUUAUUGGCCUACCAAGGCGACGAGGGGUAGCCGGCCUGAGAGGGCGACCGGCCACAUGUGGCUAAGGUACGUACCAAACUCUUACGGGGGGCAGCAGUGGGGAAUCUUACACAAUGGGGGAACCCCUGAUGCAGCAAGGCCGCGUGCGGGAUGACGGCCUGCGGGUGGUAAACCGCUUUCAGCCAUGACGCGGUAGUGGCAGAAGAAGCACCGGCUAACUACGUGCCAGCAGCCGCGGUAAUAC
rnacentral:rRNA from 1 species